rnacentral:rRNA from 1 species
AUGAACGCUGGCGGCGUGCCUAAUACAUGCAAGUCGAGCGAACGGACGAGAAGCUUGCUUCUCUGAUGUUAGCGGCGGACGGGUGAGUAACACGUGGAUAACCUACCUAUAAGACUGGGAUAACUUCGGGAAACCGGAGCUAAUACCGGAUAAUAUUUUGAACCGCAUGGUUCAAAAGUGAAAGACGGUCUUGCUGUCACUUAUAGAUGGAUCCGCGCUGCAUUAGCUAGUUGGUAAGGUAACGGCUUACCAAGGCAACGAUGCAUAGCCGACCUGAGAGGGUGAUCGGCCACACUGGAACUGAGACACGGUCCAGACUCCUACGGGAGGCAACAGUAGGGAAUCUUCCGCAAUGGGCGAAAGCCUGACGGAGCAACGCCGCGUGAGUGAUGAAGGUCUUCGGAUCGUAAAACUCUGUUAUUAGGGAAGAACAUAUGUGUAAGUAACUGUGCACAUCUUGACGGUACCUAAUCAGAAAGCCACGGCUAACUACGUG